rnacentral:rRNA from 1 species
UACGAAGGGGGCUAGCGUUGCUCGGAAUCACUGGGCGUAAAGGGUGCGUAGGCGGGUUUUUAAGUCAGAGGUGAAAUCCUGGAGCUCAACUCCAGAACUGCCUUUGAUACUGAAAGUCUUGAGUAUGGGAGAGGUGAGUGGAACUGCGAGUGUAGAGGUGAAAUUCGUAGAUAUUCGCAAGAACACCAGUGGCUAAGGCGGCUCACUGGCCCAUAACUGACGCUGAGGCACGAAAGCGUGGGGAGCAAACAGG